CAGCCAGCAGCACGCCAGCCGCAUGGCUGACCGGCUUGCUCUGGAGGACCUAAACCUGGCGGUCACUAAGGGCGAGGUAGUGGGUGUGGUGGGUGCCAACGGCGCCGGCAAGUCCACUCUUUUCAAGCUGCUCGUCGGGGACGGCAGUCCUCCAUCGUCAGGAAGCAUCGAAGUAUUCGGGAACAAGA